GACGAACGCUGGCGGCGUGCUUAACACAUGCAAGUCGAACGGAAAGGCCCCUUUGGGGGUACUCGAGUGGCGAACGGGUGAGUAACACGUGAGUAACCUGCCCUUGACUUCGGGAUAACUUCAGGAAACUGGGGCUAAUACCGGAUAGGAAUCCUUGCUGCAUGGUGGGGGUUGGAAAGCUUCGGCGGUUUUGGAUGGACUCGCGGCUUAUCAGCUUGUUGGUGGGGUAGUGGCUUACCAAGGCUUUGACGGGUAGCCGGCCUGAGAGGGCGACCGGCCACAUUGGGACUGAGAGACGGCCCAGACUCCUACGGGAGGCAGCAGGGGGGAAUAUUGCACAAUGGGCGGAAGCCUGAUGCAGCAACGCCGCGGGCGGGAUGACGGCCUUCGGGUUGUAAACCGCUUUCAGCAGGGGCGAAGCUUGUGGUGACGGUACCUGCAGAAGAAGCACCGGCUAACUACGUG
rnacentral:rRNA from 1 species